AUCUGUACAAAUGGCAGGUUUCUUACCAACAGAAUGAUUCCUUCUUCCUUAGCUGCUCCCUUCCUCCAUCUGAUUCCAGGUGGUGCCACCGCUGAGGUCCUGCCAGCCCCUCUCCACACUCACCCUGU